rnacentral:rRNA from 1 species
GACGAACGCUGGCGGCGUGCUUAACACAUGCAAGUCGAACGGAAAGGCCCUGCUUUUGUGGGGUGCUCGAGUGGCGAACGGGUGAGUAACACGUGAGUAACCUGCCCUUGACUUUGGGAUAACUUCAGGAAACUGGGGCUAAUACCGGAUAGGAGCUCCUGCUGCAUGGUGGGGGUUGGAAAGUUUCGGCGGUUGGGGAUGGACUCGCGGCUUAUCAGCUUGUUGGUGGGGUAGUGGCUUACCAAGGCUUUGACGGGUAGCCGGCCUGAGAGGGUGACCGGCCAAAUUGGGACUGAGAUACGGCCAAGACUCCUACGGGAGGCAGCAGUGGGGAAUAUUGAACAAUGGGCGGAAGCCUGAUGCAGCAACGACGCGUGCGGGAUGACGGCCUUCGGGUUGUAAACCGCUUUCGCCUGUGACGAAGCGUGAGUGACGGUAAUGGGUAAAGAAGCACCGGCUAACUACGUG